CAGUAGCCACGGUAAUACGUAGGUCCCGAGCGUUGUCCGGAUUUAUUGGGCGUAAAGCGAGCGCAGGCGGUUAGAUAAGUCUGAAGUUAAAGGCUGUGGCUUAACCAUAGUAUGCUUUGGAAACUGUUUAACUUGAGUGCAGAAGGGGAGAGUGGAAUUCCAUGUGUAGCGGUGAAAUGCGUAGAUAUAUGGAGGAACACCGGUGGCGAAAGCGGCUCUCUGGUCUGUAACUGACGCUGAGGCUCGAAAGCGUGGGGAGCAAACAGGAUUAGAGACCCCGGUAGUCCCUGUCUCUUAUACA
rnacentral:rRNA from 1 species